AAAGACCAUUUUGUACUUUAAAUUUUAUCUCUAUUUUCUCAUUUUAAUAGUUUCCUUUCCCAUCACUCAUGAAGGUUUCUAAGUUAAUGUCUGCUGCUGGAUUUUAAAAUGACUACAGUUUGCCAGACUUUUGAAAGGGAGUCACAUGCAGGAUUUAUAAUUAAGUGAUGGCAGAGAGGUCCUCCCUCAGAAGGAAUAAAAGCAAGUCUCAGCAUGAAGCUGUGCAGUUGGGGAGAAUAAAAGAUUGAUACUGCCAAGAGUAAAGGGUGUGAAAUUAGGGACUCUCAAAAUUCAUUCUGUAAACCCUCUGGAGCAAUCUCCAGAGAUUACUGAAGUUACAAGGUACUGGGUCACUCAGACCUUCAUUCUCAUCUGUGAAAUGGCAAAUGUUUCUUUGUUCUGUCUAACCCACAUGACUGUUGUGAGAGGCGAAGAUAAAACAUUUAAAAUAGCACUGAGAUCGCUUAAGGGUUUCAAAAUGAAGGGCAUAGAUUUUUUCAUUCUAUCAACCCACAAAGAGUAUAGCCAGCAUACUGAAAUGCACAUUGGUUGAAGGUUAAGGACUUCUACAACUAUCUCUGCUCAGCUGAAAGCGGAUAAUGAACAAGAACAUCAAUUUGUGCAAUAAGCUUUUGACUAGGAGAUAAAGUCUUGGAAUCAGCUUUGUGGGGGCAGAACGAAAAAGAUGGAUUUGAUGUCGUGAAAUGGCAAUUCUAAAACUCAGGAGAUAUGUUGGUGUUUCUGAGCUCUUACUCCAGUGUCCACUUGUCCAUAGAAUCACCUUUCACUUCUGGGGUCAGAGGACAGCUCCUGGAAUGAUCUCUCAUCUUACGGCAAAAAGGUAAGAGAACUUGGCUGGGCACAGUGGAUCACUCAUGUGAUUCAAGCAUUUUGAGAGGCUGA